AGUACGAGAGGACCGGGAUGGACAAACCAAUGGUGCACCAGUUGUCACGCCCGUGGCACGGCUGGAUAGCUAAGUUUGGUUGGGAUAAACGCUGAAAGCAUCUAAGUGUGAAACCCACCUCAAGAUGAGAUUUCCCACAGUAAUGGUAAGACCCCAAGCAGACUACUUGGUUGAUAGGCCGGGUGUGUAAACACAGUAAUGUGUCAGCUAACCGGUACUAAUAGGUCGAGGACUUGACCACAA
rnacentral:rRNA from 1 species